rnacentral:rRNA from 1 species
GACGAACGCUGGCGGCGCGCCUAACACAUGCAAGUCGAACGGAGUUGCCUGAUCUUAUUCUUUCGGGAUGACGAACUUGCAACUUAGUGGCGAACGGGUGAGUAACGCGUGAGGAACCUGCCCCGGAGUGGGGGACAACAGUUGGAAACGACUGCUAAUACCGCAUAAGCCCACAGUACCGCAUGGUACAGAGGGAAAAGGAGCAAUUCGCUUUGGGAUGGCCUCGCGUCUGAUUAGAUAGUUGGUGAGGUAACGGCCCACCAAGUCGACGAUCAGUAGCCGGACUGAGAGGUUGAUCGGCCACAUUGGGACUGAGAUACGGGCCCAGACUCCUACGGGAGGCAGCAGUGGGGAAUAUUGCACAAUGGGGGAAACCCUGAUGCAGCGACGCCGCGUGGAGGAAGAAGGUC